GUGGGGAAUAUUGGACAAUGGGCGCAAGCCUGAUCCAGCCAUGCCGCGUGUGUGAAGAAGGCCUUCGGGUUGUAAAGCACUUUUGUUGGGGAAGAAAAGACACCGGUUAAUACCCGGGGUUUCUGACGGUACCCAAAGAAUAAGCACCGGCUAACUUCGUGCCAGCAGCCGCGGUAAUACGAAGGGUGCAAGCGUUACUCGGAAUUACUGGGCGUAAAGCGUGCGUAGGUGGUGAGUUAAGUCUGUCGUGAAAGCCCCGGGCUCAACCUGGGAAUGGCGAUGGAUACUGGCUCGCUAGAGUGCGGUAGAGGAGAGUGGAAUUCCCGGUGUAGCAGUGAAAUGCGUAGAGAUCGGGAGGAACAUCAGUUGCGAAGGCGGCUCUCUGGACCAGCACUGACACUGAGGCACGAAAGCGUGGGGAGCAAA
rnacentral:rRNA from 1 species